rnacentral:misc_RNA from 1 species
UCUCCGUAGGUGAACCUGCGGAGGGAUCAUUACAGAGUUCAUGCCCUACCGGGUAGAUCUCCCACCCUAUGUUAUUAUUACUUUGUUGCUUUGGCGGGCCGUUAGGCUCCGGCCCGACUACCGGCCCCGGCUGGUGAGCGCCCGCCAGAGGACCCAAAACCCUGAAUAUUAGUGUCGUCUGAGUACUAUAUAGUAGUUAAAACUUUCAACAACGGAUCUCUUGGUUCUG